CCCUGCCUUCAAGGACUCUCUGGUCCUUCAUAUGCUUGUAGCCCAUCUCAGCUGGUGGUGGCAUUUCCCACCUGGUGCCCAUCUGCACCUGCCAUGCUUGCAGUGGCUGCUGGGGCAAACAGCAGAGUCCAGCAGGGUGGGCCUGUGGUCAGAGCGCCAACACUGGCUGUCCAGGCAUGUCAGCUGAAACUAAAACUGGGUUCCCAGGGAAAAUUAUUUCCCAUUAUCAAUACUUUCAAAGCAGACACGAGUGAUUGAUCCUGAUUCAGAAGGUCUCAGAAGGGUCUCAGCCCCAAACACUACAGCUACCGCUGGUCUGUGGCCCAUACUUUGAGCAGCAAGGAUGCACACUGUUCUGAAAGCAAGUUUUUUCAAGGAUGGUCAGUGGAUAACAUGUAUGAGAAUGUCCUGGAUAACCUGUUAAAAAACAGAGUCCCAUGUUCCACCUAAAUCUGGGGUCCAGGGCUGAAGCCCGGGAAUCUGCACUGAACAGACUGCUCACAUGAUUCUUAUCAAUGCUGAAGCUUGAGCACGGGCACUGUUUCAUGGGUAAGGACUAGAGAGUCGUCCAGAAGUCAGAUCCUCACCAAGAGCUCAACGCUGCUGGGAGAACUGGGGGAGGUGAGAGCGGCGCAGGGCAGGCUGGGUAAUCCAGCUCCUUGAGGCCAGUGGCAAAGCAGGGCUUGCUUCCGCCUCCUCAUUGGCAACUGGUCCAGCCAGGCUGUGAGAGGGAAAACCAUGGACCGUGUCACUGCAGAAUUCCCACGGCAUCCCAAGGACUACGAUGUGCCAUUUUUUGUACAGUUGUUAUUA